CCUACGGGAGGCAGCAGUGAGGAAUAUUGGUCAAUGGACGAGAGUCUGAACCAGCCAAGUAGCGUGAAGGAUGACUGCCCUAUGGGUUGUAAACUUCUUUUAUAUGGGAAUAAAACGUUCCACGUGUGGGAUGUUGUAUGUACCAUAUGAAUAAGGAUCGGCUAACUCCGUGCCAGCAGCCGCGGUAAUACGGAGGAGCCGAGCUUUUUCCGGAUUUUUUGGGUUUAAAGGGAGCGUAGGUGGUUUGGUAAGUAAGUUGUGAAAGUUUGCGGCUCAACCGUAAAAUUGCAGUUGAAACUGGCAGUCUUGAGUACAGUAGAGGUGGGCGGAAUUCGUGGUGUAGCGGUGAAAUGCUUAGAUAUCACGAAGAACUCCGAUUGCGAAGGCAGCUCACUGGACUGUAACUGACACUGAGGCUCGAAAGUGUGGGUAUCAAACAGGAUUAGAUACCCCUGUAGUC
rnacentral:rRNA from 1 species